ACCAAUCCACCAAAUAGCUUUACAUAUCUUGCUAUUGCCACCGACUACAUGUUUCCAUCCCCACCGACUCUCAUAUCUUUCCUAUUCAGUUCUUCAAUUCUUUGAUUUUGCGUCAUAAAUCGAACCCAUAGGGCUUCUGGAUUUUAUUGGGUCACCAUCACCCAUCCGCCCUCGAUGUCACAUGUUCCUUCCCCUCUGUCGAGUUCGUGCCAUCUGAGUCGUCGUCAGUGGCUGCUGCUUUUAUCCCUAAUUUUGGAAAUUGAAAUUAAAUAUUCAAGAUGCGUCGUACUCCAACAGGAAAGGUCCGUCUAAUUCAACUCAAAUUUGUCACUCGAUAUUCCUUCAGUCCUCUAUAUGUAAAUCAGGAUUCGUAUUUUCAUAUUUCGCUGCUAUAGCUUGCAUCUUCUUUACUGAUUCCGAUUGUCAUCUCCACCAUUGCUCCUACGCCUUUGUUCAUCCAAAAAAACACAACAACGAUUAUCUGGUGUACAUCAUAAGAGGUUUGGGUUUAUUGCUAGCCUUUGUUCUUUUUUUUGUUCGUUUCCAAGUUUUUGGUUCUUCGUUUUGUUGUCUCUCCGUUAAAUUGAACAUGAUUUUUGGACGUUUCUCUUCAAUCGAUGGAAACCCGGUCGCAUGCCACACACCUUCUCGCCACUUUGUUAACGAUCAUCGCCUCUUACAAGCAUGCCUCCAGUUCAGAUUGUAAAUCAUGUAUGUCUAUCUCUACUUUCUUUCUUCGAUUCAUAUUUUAGUUGCUUGAUUUUAAAUCGUCUUUAUUGUAAGCUGAAAUGAGUUUGAAUUGGUAGGAUUAUUAUUAUAAAAUUUUGAAGAAAGUGAAGAUGCAUACCACAUGUUUGAUAAAAUGUCUAUUUGAAAUCUGGGAACAGAUUUAUUUAGAUACAAAACCAGUUUUACAUAAUAACUAGACCAACAAUAAUUGUAUAUUCUUUUGGAAAUUUGGUAUGAUUCAUUCAUUUAAUGCUUUAAUGCUUUGCUAAACUUAAUAAGAUGUUAGUUGCUGCCAUAUUUUACGAUGGCAAAAGUCCAUUGUGUCUUAUCUUUUGAUGGUCAUUAGAGGAAAUUUCUUAAACUUGAGUUGAUUUUUAAAAUUUUAAGAAAAUAUAUUAUAUUUGAUUUUCUCUAUUCUUUUAUGAUAUUAAAAGUUACUUGUAAGUUUGUAACAGAUGUUUGCUAUUAUUAAUAUUCAUGUUAUCAUCCUGGAUGACUCAAUUGGAAUGCAUUUCAUUAUCCAAUUGUGUCAUUUUGCAUCGAUCCGCAUGACGUAAAAUUCAAACAAGAGUAUUUUCAAAUUUAUUUGUUAAAUAAUAUCUCGAUUAUAACACUCUAAAAAAUAGUUCACAAUUAAUUAUAUUUUAUAAAACUGAUUCACAAUGAUCGGAAAAAACUUUUGAAAUCAACUUAAGGAAAAAAAUAAUAUUUUUAGAUUAUUGAGAUCAUAUAUUACUAGAUUUCUUUACCUGAUGUUACAUUCCGCACUUACUAUUUUUAUGGUUAAAAGUAUUAUGAUUGAAUCUUGAGUUGUAACACUUUUAUUCAGUAAUUAGUCGAGGAUUUCGUAGUGAGUUUUCUUUGUAAGUACAUGGUUGAGGAUAAUUAUUAAUUGAUCAAAAUAAGAAAGCAUUACGAUAGCUAAAUUUGAUCUAAUACUGAUUAGUUAUAUAAACGUACAAUUUAUCAUUAGGGACACUUCAUAGUUAUAACAAAUCAAACUAAAGUAAAAGAAAAAAUGUAAGGGAAAAUGGAUGUUAUUGUUAUUGUUGUUUAAAGAAAACAAAUCCAACUUUGUGAUAAGACAUUGUCAUUGUAUUCAUCUGUGAUGUGCUUCUAUUAAGCAUUAAGCACGUACUAAGCAUAAUUGAUACAUUGAACUUAGCUUUUACAACAUCAUCAUUGUUUGAAAAAGAUCUCUCAUUUACCUAUGUAAAAUAGCAUAAUUGUGGAAUUUGCAACACUUAUACGAGAUUGAGCAUACAAUUUUAACCUUAAUUUUUUUAUCAUUCAUAUUUUUACUUAAAUUUAUUAACUCAAAUAGGUUACUUUUAUUGAGCUGCUCCUAAGCAUACAACUUGAGUUUGGUUUCUUCAGAGAUGCAAAAA
rnacentral:lncRNA from 1 species